GGGGCCGUAGCUCAGUUGGGAGAGCGCUGCGUUCGCAAUGCAGAGGUCGUGGGUUCGACUCCCAUCGGCUCCA
rnacentral:tRNA from 2 species